rnacentral:rRNA from 1 species
CUUGCUAAGUUUGAUGGCGACCGGCGCACGGGUGAGUAACACGUAUCCAACCUGCCGAUGACUCGGGGAUAGCCUUUCGAAAGAAAGAUUAAUACCCGAUGGCAUAGUUCUUCCGCAUGGUGGAACUAUUAAAGAAUUUCGGUCAUCGAUGGGGAUGCGUUCCAUUAGGUUGUUGGCGGGUAACGGCCCACCAAGCCUUCGAUGGAUAGGGGUUCUGAGAGGAAGGUCCCCCACAUUGGAACUGAGACACGGUCCAAACUCCUACGGGAGGCGCAUG